rnacentral:rRNA from 1 species
UACGUAGGGAGCAAGCGUUGUCCGGAAUCAUUGGGCGUAAAGCGCGCGUAGGUGGCUUCGUAAGUCCGUUGUGAAAGUCAAAGGCUCAACCUUUGAAAGCCGAUGGAUACUGCGGAGCUAGAGUACGGAAGAGGCGAGUGGAAUUCCUGGUGUAGCGGUGGAAUGCGCAGAUAUCAGGAGGAACACCAAUAGCGAAGGCAGCUCGCUGGGACGUUACUGACACUGAGGCGCGAAAGCGUGGGGAGCGAGCAGG